rnacentral:lncRNA from 1 species
AUGUUCUUUCCCUGCUUCUUGCCAAGGAGAAGGGACCUGCCCCGCGUCCCACAGUUGGGUGGGGGCAGAGUGGCAGACUCCAUCAGCUACACGUCUGAUCUUUUUCAUCUUCUGCUAGAGGGAGUGCUGGUGAUGGGACCCAGUCAUUGCUAUUCUGUUCAGGAAGCUGGAUGCUGCAGGCUCACGUGGGAGCCAUCUUCCAGCCCCCUGGUCCCAAAGCCACCAGCUGGGCAGCCUGGCAGCCCUGGCUGUGACACUGAAGCCCCCUGUGCUUGGUCCUCGGGCCCAGGAGGGGCUGAGCAGUGGGUAUCAUCCUCGCUAGCUGCACCAUCCCUGCCGGGAGCCCUGAGAGCAGAUGAGAAUCUGGUGAUGCUGGAGUCUUGGUGGGGGGCCGUCAACUUCCUGCAGCGUGUUCACCGGCUGCAGAAGCUCGUGUCAGAUACGGGCGCAACGUUUAACUGGUCUGGCUGCGUGGAAGUCAGCUGCCCUGUAGGCGACACAACCGCCUUCAUUUCUAGCAGGGCUCGAGGGUCAGGAGCCAGCCCGGUGCUGUGGGAAGAGCAGGAUCCAGAGACAGGCAGAGCUGUGGCACCUUCCAGCUCCGCAGGUCCCGUCACCUCCCUGAGCCCCAGCUUCCUCAUUUGUCAAAUGGGGAUGAUCCUAGUGGAGGUGCGUUUGCUGACAUGUAUGAAAAACUUACUGUUCCAAAUGCUUUGGGCAUUAACUCUAAUUUAUCCUCAUAACAGACUGUUCCGGUUUUCUAUUUCUGUGAAACUUAGUGGCUUAAAAUGUCAACUGAUCAUUAUGUGUCCCACUUCUGUGGCUUGGCUGGGCUCAGCUGGGCGCUCCUGGCUUGAGGUCUCUCAUGCAGUCGUGGGUCAGGGGCAGCUGGAGCUGGAAUCAUCUGAAGGCUCGACUGGGCUGGGUGUCCAAGGGGCGUCUUCACUCACAGACCCAGCACCAUGGUGCCUCUCUCUCCACGGGGCCUCAGCCACCAGGACCCUUCCACGUGACUUGGGCUUCUCACUGCGUGGGGUGUAUUCAUUUUUCUGUUGCUGCUGUAACAAAUGA